GGGGGUGAUACGGCUUCGACGUGGGUCACGAAACUCAAGGUGCAUGCCGAGGUGAGGUUCCUCGUAAAUCCAUCUCAAAACCAAUAGUUGCCAACGACGACAACUACGCACUCGCCGCUUAAAAACCGGUAGGGUGCCGUCUGACCGAAGCCGUGCUUGUGCGUUCGGAACUCAGGCGUCGACUCUCACAAGAUCGCAAUGAAGCGCGUCCGGCGUGGAUUUGUUAAAACAAAAAACCGGACUCGUCGUGUAUCUUCCCUGCCUGUCGGGUAGUACACGAUUAAAAUAAUAGACAGGACAAGCAUGUAGUACCGAGAGCGUAGGGCUUGCGGACGCGGGUUCGACUCCCGCCACCUCCACCA
rnacentral:tmRNA from 1 species